rnacentral:rRNA from 1 species
AUUGAACGCUGGCGGCAGGCCUAACACAUGCAAGUCGAACGAGUGGCGGACGGGUGAGAAAUGUCUGGGACACUUCCUGAUGGAGGGGGAUAACUACGGGAAACGGUAGCUAAUAACGCCUACCACCGGAUGUGUCUGGAUGGGAUUAGCUAGUAGGGGGGGUAAAGGCUCACCUAGGCGACGAUCCCGAGCUGGUCUGAGAGGAUGAUCAGGCACACUGGAACUGAGACACGGUCCAGACUCCUACGGGAGGCAGCAGUGGGGAAUAUUGGACAAUGGGCGAAAGCCUGAUCCAGCCAUGCCGCGUGUGUGAAGAAGGUCUUCGGAUUGUAAAGCACUUUUAGUUGGGAAGCGGUACCAACAGAAUAAGCACCGGCUAACUACGUGCCAGCAGCCGCGGUAAUUC